rnacentral:tRNA from 1 species
AAAAAGAUAAGCUAAUUAAGCUAUUGGGUUCAUACCCCACUUAUGAGGAUUUUAUCUCCUCUCUUUUUA